rnacentral:rRNA from 1 species
AUUGAACGCUGGCGGCAUGCUUUACACAUGCAAGUCGAACGGUAACAGGCCGCAAGGUGCUGACGAGUGGCGAACGGGUGAGUAAUGCAUCGGAACGUGCCCAGUCGUGGGGGAUAACGCAGCGAAAGCUGCGCUAAUACCGCAUACGAUCUGCGGAUGAAAGCGGGGGACCUUCGGGCCUCGCGCGAUUGGAGCGGCCGAUGUCAGAUUAGGUAGUUGGUGGGGGAAAGGCCCACCAAGCCGACGAUCUGUAGCUGGUCUGAGAGGACGACCAGCCACACUGGGACUGAGACACGGCCCAGACUCCUACGGGAGGCAGCAGUGGGGAAUUUUGGACAAUGGGCGCAAGCCUGAUCCAGCAAUGCCGCGUGCAGGAAGAAGGCCUUCGGGUUGUAAACUGCUUUUGUACGGAACGAAACGGCUCUGGUUAAUACCCGGGGCUAAUGACGGUACCGUAAGAAUAAGCACCGGCUAACUACGUGCCAGCCGCCGCCGUAAAAC